rnacentral:rRNA from 1 species
AUUGAACGCUGGCGGCAUGCUUUACACAUGCAAGUCGAACGGCAGCGCGGGCUUCGGCCUGGCGGCGAGUGGCGAACGGGUGAGUAAUACAUCGGAACGUGCCCAGUAGUGGGGGAUAGCUCGGCGAAAGCCGGAUUAAUACCGCAUACGACCCGAGGGUGAAAGCGGGGGAUCUUCGGACCUCGCGCUAUUUGAGCGGCCGAUGGCAGAUUAGCUAGUUGGUGGGGUAAAGGCCUACCAAGGCGACGAUCUGUAGCUGGUCUGAGAGGACGACCAGCCACACUGGGACUGAGACACGGCCCAGACUCCUACGGGAGGCAGCAGUGGGGAAUGUUGGACAAAGGGCGAAAGCCUGAUCCAGCAAUGCCGCGUGUGUGAUGAAGGCCUUCGGGUUGUAAAGCACUUUUGGCGGGAACGAAAAGGACUGUGCCAAUACCACGGUUCGAUGACGGUACCCGCAGAAUAAGCACCGGCUAACUACGUG